GACGAACGCUGGCGGCGUGCCUAACACAUGCAAGUCGAGCGGAGAAUGCGGAUAUGUUUACAUGGAAGCGUUCUUAGCGGCGGACGGGUGAGUAACACGUGGGUAACCUGCCUCAAAGUGGGGGAUAGCCUUCCGAAAGGAAGAUUAAUACCGCAUAAGCCUACAGUGCCGCAUGGUACAGUAGGAAAAGGAGUAAUCCGCUUUGAGAUGGACCCGCGGCGCAUUAGCUAGUUGGUGAGGUAACGGCUCGCCAAGGCGACGAUGCGUAGCCGACCUGAGAGGGUGAUCGGCCACAUUGGAACUGAGACACGGUCCAGACUCCUACGGGAGGCAGCAGUGGGGAAUAUUGCACAAUGGGCGAAAGCCUGAUGCAGCAACGCCGCGUGAGUGAUGAAGGCCUCGGUCGUAAGACUCUUUGUAUCAGGGAGUGAUAAUGACAGUACCUGAAAACAAGACCACGGCUAACUACGUAGCCACGCAGCCGAC
rnacentral:rRNA from 1 species